rnacentral:rRNA from 1 species
UACAGAGGGUGCAAGCGUUGUUCGGAAUUAUUGGGCGUAAAGCGCGUGUAGGCGGCUUUGCAAGUCGGGUGUGAAAGCCCUCAGCUCAACUGAGGAAGUGCGCCCGAAACUGCAUUGCUUGAGUGUCGGAGAGGAUGGCGGAAUUCCCCAAGUAGAGGUGAAAUUCGUAGAUAUGGGGAGGAACACCGGUGGCGAAGGCGGCCAUCUGGACGAUUACUGACGCUGAGACGCGAAAGCGUGGGGAGCAAACAGG